AACGAACGCUGGCGGCAUGCCUAACACAUGCAAGUCGAACGAGACCUUCGGGUCUAGUGGCGCACGGGUGCGUAACGCGUGGGAACCUGCCCUUAGGUUCGGAAUAACUCCCCGAAAGGGGUGCUAAUACCGGAUAAUGUCUUCGGACCAAAGAUUUAUCGCCUUUGGAUGGGCCCGCGUUGGAUUAGCUAGUUGGUAGGGUAAAAGCCUACCAAGGCGACGAUCCAUAGCUGGUCUGAGAGGAUGACCAGCCACACUGGGACUGAGACACGGCCCAGACUCCUACGGGAGGCAGCAGUGGGGAAUAUUGGACAAUGGGCGAAAGCCUGAUGCAGCAAUGCCGCGUGAGUGAUGAAGGCCUUAGGGUUGUAAAGCUCUUUUACCCGGGAUGAUAAUGACAGUACCGGGAGAAUAAGCCCCGGCUAACUCCGUG
rnacentral:rRNA from 1 species